ACGCUCGACACCUACGGGGGGCAGCAGUGGGGAAUAUUGCACAAUGGGGGAAACCCUGAUGCAGCGACGCCGCGUGGAGGAAGAAGGUCUUCGGAUUGUAAACUCCUGUUGUUGGGGAAAAAGAGGAUGGUACCCAACAAGGAAGUGACGGCUAACUACGUGCCAGCAGCCGCGGUAAUCUGAGCGGGCGUGGCGAAGGC
rnacentral:rRNA from 1 species